AAGACGUUAAAACAUGGUACUUGUUGGUCCCUGCCUGACGCUUGGCAGCAUUAAUGGGUACAACAAUGACUGGUUGGCUCGGACUCAUAUAUUUAGUUGAGAAUCUAAAGGAACCCUUACCAAUCUGCGUGGACCAGAAUAGGAAAAAAAAUCAAAUUUGGAAAUAAAGAACUAGAAGUUAAAACCUGACCCUGAAGAUUACAGAAGAUGCAGAACAAGUGAAUGAAGAGAGAUGGAAGUCACAUGAUCGACCGGAACAUGAUUCAUGCAAUGCAUGAGCUACCUGUGACCAUCUACAACAAUAGAUAGAGCUGGGUGAAUUCGUAUGAAGUGUUUAAAGAGGAUGAAAACUUUGUGCCUUGUCAUUUCCUCUCCAUAGUCGUAAGAACAAGAGGAGGUACAUAACCUAAAAAAAGGUGAAGUUUUACAAAUUACUGCUCAAGGAAAGGGAAUCGAACCCGGGUGUUCGGCAUGACGAGCGAACGCCUUAACCACUAGGCUACCCCAGCCCACUCAAGGAUAGAACACACAAUGUAACUAAAAACA